rnacentral:rRNA from 1 species
UACGUAGGUGGCAAGCGUUGUCCGGAUUUAUUGGGCUUAAAGCGCGCGUAGGCGGCUUUUUAAGUCAGUGGUGAAAGCCGAUCGCUUAACGAUCGAACUGCCAUUGAUACUGAGGGGCUUGAGUAUAGUUGAGGUAGGCGGAAUUGACAGUGUAGCGGUGAAAUGCAUAGAGAUGGUCAAGAACACCAAUUGCGAAGGCAGCUUACUAAAGUAUAACUGACGCUGAGGCACGAAAGUGCGGGGAUCAAACAGG